rnacentral:rRNA from 1 species
CGCCCGUCGCUCCUACCGAUUGGGUGUGCUGGUGAAGCGUUCGGAUUGGCGGCCUCCGGCGGUUCGCCGCUGGGAGCAGCCGAGAAGUUCGUCAAACCCUCCCACCUAGAGGAAGGAGAAGUCGUAACAAGGUUUCC